AACGAACGCUGGCGGCAUGCCUAACACAUGCAAGUCGAACGAGACCUUCGGGUCUAGUGGCGCACGGGUGCGUAACGCGUGGGAACCUGCCCUUAGGUUCGGAAUAACUCCCCGAAAGGGGUGCUAAUACCGGAUAAUGUCUUCGGACCAAAGAUUUAUCGCCUUUGGAUGGGCCCGCGUUGGAUUAGCUAGUUGGUAGGGUAAAAGCCUACCAAGGCGACGAUCCAUAGCUGGUCUGAGAGGAUGAUCAGCCACACUGGGACUGAGACACGGCCCAGACCCCUAGGGGGGGACGCAGUGGGGAAUUUUGGAAAAGGGGCGAAAGCCGGACCCAGCAAUGCCGGGGGAGUGAUGAAGGCCUUAGGGUUGAAAAGCUCUUUUACCCGGGAUGAUAAGGACAGGACCGGGAAAAUAAGCCCCGGCUAACUCCGG
rnacentral:rRNA from 1 species